rnacentral:rRNA from 1 species
AACGAACGCUGGCGGCAUGCCUAACACAUGCAAGUCGAACGCUUUGGGGGUUUCGGCCCCCAGGGAGUGGCGCACGGGUGAGUAGCGCGUGGGAACCUGCCCUGUUGUGGGGGAUAACCGAGGGAAACUUCGGCUAAUACCGCAUGCGCCCGGUGAGCGAUCAUCGGGGAAAGAUUUAUCGCAGCAGGAGGGGCCCGCGUCGGAUUAGCUGGUUGGUGGGGUAACGGCCUACCAAGGCGAUGAUCCGUAGCUGGGCUGAGAGGAUGAUCAGCCAAACUGGGACUGAGACACGGCCCAGACUCCUACGGGAGGCAGCAGUGGGGAAUAUUGGACAAUGGGCGCAAGCCUGAUCCAGCAAUGCCGCGUGAGUGAUGAAGGCCUUCGGGUUGUAAAGCUCUUUCGCCCGCGACGAUGAUGACGGUAGCGGGAGAAGAAGCCCCGGCUAACUUCGUGCCAGCCGCCGCGGUAACAC